GGAAUUUUGGACAAUGGGGGCAACCCUGAUCCAGCAAUGCCGCGUGAGUGAAGAAGGCCUUCGGGUUGUAAAGCUCUUUUGUCCGGAAAGAAAUCCUAUCCGCUAAUACCGGGUGGGGAUGACGGUACCGGAAGAAUAAGCACCGGCUAACUACGUGCCAGCAGCCGCGGUAAUACGUAGGGUGCGAGCGUUAAUCGGAAUUACUGGGCGUAAAGCGUGCGCAGGCGGUUGUGCAAGACAGAUGUGAAAUCCCCGGGCUCAACCUGGGAAUUGCAUUUGUGACUGCACGGCUAGAGUGUGUCAGAGGGGGGUAGAAUUCCACGUGUAGCAGUGAAAUGCGUAGAGAUGUGGAGGAAUACCGAUGGCGAAGGCAGCCCCCUGGGAUAACACUGACGCUCAUGCACGAAAGCGUGGGGAGCAAA
rnacentral:rRNA from 1 species